UAAAUUCAUGGCUUCAUGGGAGUCUGCAAAUGACUGACAAGCCUUAAGGUUGCAGGCUGGCAGAUAUCUCAUGCUACUGAGGUUUUUCUUGAAGAGGUGAGGAUUCCACAGGAGAAUUCUAAUAAGCAAUCAAGUUUCAGCCCUUGAGCUUCUUAACAGAAUGUGGCAGAAAUGAAGGUUCAUGUCUUGUGAGGCUCGGUGGUAAGAAGUCUUUCAGCUUCAUCCUUGAUCUCUUGGAAACACUCUGUCUUGAAGCCUGAGCCUCCAUGUUAGAAGUCUGACUGCCCUGAGACUGCUGUGCUUGUGAGGAAGUCCGACCUACCCAGACGCACAGGACACUAGGUGGAAAGAGCAGUGCCAGCUCUAAGGAAGAAAAGCUUUUCCUCUACCGUCUAAGGUUCUAUAUCUGAGUCUGAGAAUUUAAUUAUAUUAUUUAUGUUUAUAUAUAUUCACAUAUAAUAUGUAAUUGCAUACGUAAAUUUUCAUAUAAUUACAUAUUAUAUAUAAAUAUAUACAUUGACAGAAGAUUAAUAGUAGAAAAGCAUACAAAUUGUAAUAUUUUUAUAUGCACAUGGGAUCCUUCAUACGAAAAAUGAAGAUCCAAAAAAGCUGUUAGGACUGAGAGCUUAUAUACCAAUUAUAUCAAAGAACAAUAAAUUUAUGGAGAAGUGACAAGACAGAGGAAAUGGGGUUUAAACUUCUAGGGGCAGUAUUGUGGGGAAGUGACUCAGAAAUAGAUGAAGUAAACUAAUGGACGAGAAAGUGUAUUUUAGAAGGCUUGUCUGUACAGAUGCAUUUCAGCAUCAACUCCCAGUCUCUCUCCCUGGUGCAGGGGCAGCACCUUUCUCAUGGGAAGUUUUAUGACCUGCUUUUAGAUAGAAAGAGAGAAGUUCUUUCCUGUAUCUAUUGCUUCUGAAGUGCCUUCAGCCCAGAAUAAGCCAUAUGUCAAAGUGGCAUGUUUUGGAUCAUAUAUUUUGAUCCUUUUCGUAGCCAGUCCAUAGGCACCAUGUAUGUGGGUGAAGCUGUCUCAGACCCUCUAGACUGGAGCAGCCACCAGCCAAUACCACCAAGUGACCUCAUGUGACUCCAUGUGGGAAAGAAUCCCUCCGCAGAUCCACGCAUGAAUUUUUGAUGCAUGAAAUUCUUAGAUAUGAUAAAAUGGUGUUUUUUUUUCUUUAACCUUUAAGUUUUGGUUAGCUU
rnacentral:lncRNA from 1 species